AUGGUACUCCUACCAAAAACACAGGCGCCAACAUCUCCUGACGCGUUUAGACCUAUCUCCCUCCAAAACUGCACGCCAAAAGCAGUUGCCAAAAUCCUCACAAAUAGAGUUAAACCUCUCAUCCCACCUCUCAUUCAUUACAAUCAGACAGGCUUCCUUCAUGGGCGUAACAUUGCUGAAAAUUUCAUCUAUGCCGCGGAUAUUCUCAGUACGUGUCACACACGUAAAGCCCCGACCAUGGUUUUUAAGCUGGACUUCAGAAAAGCAUUUGAUUCUAUAUGCUGGUCCUCCCUCAUUCAAAUAUUAAAAGCCCGCGGUUUUCCUACCAUCUUCUGCGCAUGGGUCCAAAACAUCCUCUGCACUGGCAAAAUGGCUAUUCUUUUAAAUGGGGUUCCGGGGUCCUGGAUUCAAUGUAGAUGUGGCCUCCGCCAAGGAGACCCCUUCUCACCAUACCUAUUCAUCAUCAUCACCGAUGUACUUCAAAGACUAAUCGCUAAAGCUUUCCAAUCUAACGUUCUCUGCCACCCUCUACGACCAAUGAACCACCGGUGA
rnacentral:rRNA from 1 species